rnacentral:misc_RNA from 1 species
GUGGGAGGGGGCUUGCUCCCGAUAGCAGUAUGUCUGUCAGCACAUUUCUAACUGACCCACCGCUAUCGGGAGCAAGCCCCCUCCCAC